UAAAAAUACACUCUGGACACUGUUUAAAAUACAGAAUCAAUCGAAUGGCCGGCCAUAUUGCAUGGGGUAGCAUAUGUGAAAGUUUGUUCAUUUUUCCUAACGCCAAACUGACGAGUUGAGUGUGUUUAAUACAGACAUAUAUUGAACCCCAGUUUUAUAGGUUGGCCUCAAUCCAAACGGAAUAAAUAUACAUACAUACACGGGAAGCACUUCCAACAGAGCCCCAGCAUGAAACACACCAGAAUAAUAAUAAUCGAAAAGGAAAAUGGAAAGUUUAAUAUAAAAAAAUCUAACAUCGGACAUAGAUACUCUAUCGAAAUCUAUAUACACAGAUCUGUAUCUGACGAUCUGGACAUUAAACGGAUAGGACUCUUGUUGAGGAUGAAAUGAACUUAGCCAAGACACACAGAUGAUGUUUUAAAUUUAUCUUUUAUUUACUUUCCGCUGUC